GCUCACUGCAGCCUCCGGGGAGGCAGGACAUUUCUGAGGUCCACAGUGCAGGGCUUGGUACUCAGUAGGUGCCCAAUAAAUACCUGUUGCACGAAUGAAUGAAUGAAUGAAUGAAUGAAUGAAUGUUUUUGGUUGAGAGGCGGGACUUUGGUCUUCCCGAGCCUCCAUUUCUCCGCCAACAUAAAAUAAAAAACAUAAUGGCACUUUC
rnacentral:lncRNA from 1 species